GAUGAAGAACGUAGUGAAAUGCGAUAAGUAGUGUGAAUUGCAGAAUUUAGUGAAUCAUCGAAUCUUUGAACGCACAUUGCGCCCGCCAGCAUUCUGGCGGGCAUGCCUGUUCGAGCGUCAUUUCAACCCUCGACCUCCCUUUGGGGAAGUCGGCGUUGGGGACCGGCAGCACACCGCCGGCCCUGAAAUGGAGUGGCGGCCCGUCCGCGGCGACCUCUGCGUAGUAAUCCAACUCGCACCGGAACCCCGACGCGGCCACGCCGUAAAACACCCAACUUCUGAACGUUGACCUCGAAUCAGGUAGGACUACCCGCUGAACUUAAGCAUAUCAAUAAGCGGAGGA
rnacentral:misc_RNA from 1 species